GAUGAACGCUGGCGGCGUGCCUAAUACAUGCAAGUCGAGCGAACAGAUGAGGAGCUUGCUCCUCUGACGUUAGCGGCGGACGGGUGAGUAACACGUGGAUAACCUACCUAUAAGACUGGGAUAACUUCGGGAAACCGGAGCUAAUACCGGAUAAUAUAUUGAACCGUAUGGUUCAAUAGUGAAAGACGGUUUUGCUGUCACUUAUAGAUGGAUCCGCGCUGCCUUAGCUAGUUGGUAAGGUAACGGUUUACCAAGGCAACGAUGCGUAGCCGACCUGAGAGGAUGAUCAGCCGCACUGGAACUGAGACGCGGUCCAGACUCCUACGGGAGGCAGCGGUAGGGAAUCUUCCGGAAGGGGCGAAAGCCUGACGGAGCAACGCCGCGUGAGUCAGGAGGGUCUUCGGAUCGUAAAACUCUGUUAUUAGGGAAGAACAAAUGUGUAAGUAAAGAUGCACAUCUUGACGGUACCUAAUCAGAAAGCCACGGCUAACUACGUG
rnacentral:rRNA from 1 species